rnacentral:lncRNA from 1 species
CUCUGCCUCCCGGGUUCAAGCGAUUCUCCCGAGUUGCUGGGACCACGGGCUCGUGACGCCACGCCCGGCUAAUUUUUUUGUAUUUUUGGUAGAGACGGGGUUUCACCAUGUGAGCCAGGAUGCUCUCCAUCUCCUGACCUCAUGAUCCGCCCGCCUCGGCCUCCCAAAGUGUUGGGAUUACAAGCGUGAGCCACUGCGCCCGGACUGGAGCUUUUACAAUUUUAACUCCUUAAGGUGAAAAAACGCACUGCUUAUUUUCUUCAAGUCAAAAUGCCUUAAAGGAGCAGUAUCUUGAAUGUGACGUGGCAGACUCAAGGGGAUGCUCUUCAACAUAAAGCAUCAGAAGCCUGAGUAACAUUUUCUGAUCUUGACUCUACGUGACAAGUCGAAAAGAAUUUUUUUCAAUUUAGUUUUUACCAAGUCAGAUUCUAUUUGACAAUAUGGCAGCACUACACAUGGAAAGUAACUUAUUACUUUGGGCAUCUAGUUUAAAUAGAGACAAUCCAUAAUGUGCAUGUGAAAAAAAAUGGCCACUGUUCUUGAAGCAUUGCCCUUGAGCAAGCAACAAGUUUAAAUCUGUCAGUGUGGAAGAAAUUGUUUUUUCUUAAUUGCUUAAUUGUUAACCCUAGGAGAAAAUGACAAUAAAAUUCUACUUCAAAAUGUUUAUGUUUUUGGAAUUACAGGUACAUGUAGAAACCAUAAGUGGAACACUGUAUUAACUGAAUAUCAUUGAGAAACUUCAAGCAAACAUGUUACUGAUAUAAAUUAAAGAAUAAUUGAAAAGGAAAAGACCUCCUUCCUUUUUUCCCCAAAAGAUUAAAACUUCUGCAUAGGUCGCUUCCAAGAUGGACGAAUAGGAACAACUCCAACCUACAGCUCCCAGCGAGAUUGAUGCAGAAGAUGGGCGAUUUCUGCAUUUCCAACUGAGGUCUCUGAAGAAUCUCCAUACCAUCUUCCACAAUUGUUGAACUAAUUUACACUUCCAGUAACAAUGUGACCAACAACACAUGGAAGCUGCCAAGGCUUGGGGUUUACACCCUCUGAAGCAAUGGCCUGAGCUGCACCUUGGACCUUUUUAGCCAAAGCUGAAGCAGCUGAGAGGCAAGGCCCCAAGUCUCAGGCUUCACACAGUAGGGGGCACCUGGACCUAGCCCAGGAAACUAUUUUUCCCUUAAUGGCAUACCCUCCCAUCACAGGCCCAGAAGCCUAGGACAUAACCUGGAGGCAUUUUCCCCUUUGUCUUGGUGAUUAGAUGCAGCACCCCCAGGGGGAACUUUGCCCCUCCCAUUUGGGCACAACCACUGAAGACUUCCUCAUCUUUGCCACAUAAAAGCCCCAGAACACAGCCCCAUUUCUGGCAACCCUCUUUGGGUCCCCUCUCUUUGCUGAGAACUUUUCUGUUGCUUAAUAAAACUUUGCUCUACAUUAUUCCUUCUCUGGUGUCUGCGUGCUUUAUUCUUCUUGGUCAUGGGACAAGAACUUAGACCUAGUUGAACUGAGGAGCGAUUAGGCUGCAACACUAAUAUCAACCAAAAAAUUAGAGAACAAAGGGCAAACAGACCUCAAAGCUAGCAGAAGACAAGAAACAACCCAAAUCAGAGCAGAUCUGAAGGAGACGGAGACACAGUAAAACUACCCUAAGAACAAUGAAUCCAGGAGGUUGUUUUUUUAAAAAAUUAAUAAAAUAGCUCACCAGCUAGACUAAUAAAGAAGAAAAGAGAAG